GGGGGCGAUCUGGAUUCGACUUGAUGUAUGGCGUAAGAAGGAGCAUGCCGAGGUUGGUCAGUUGGCCUCGUAAAAAGCUGACUACAAAAUAAGUGCAAAAAACAUAAGCACAAAAGUAACAGAAGUAAUUCCUAUGAAUGUAGGUUUUGCUGCUGUA
rnacentral:tmRNA from 1 species